CCCAAUACCAACCAAAGAAAAAAAAACGGCGACAAGAUUAUGAGGAUAUUGGAAUUUCCACAUGAUGUUUGUAAACAAAAUUAUGACGAAGACCUGCUCUAUUUUUAAAAUGAAGGUAUAGUAGCUGACAUAUAGUGUACAUGUACCACUUGAAGAUUUGUCCCCCUUGUAGAUACAAGAAAUGCAAAGUGUACACAGAUACAUACACAUAAAAGGAGACAUCACCUCAUGAUCUGUGGAUCCAUUGAAAACUUUAAGGACAAAACUUUUGAUAAUUCAUUCAUGUAUAAAAUGUUGACUCGAAUAUUGAAUAUCUAAUGAAUGGAAGCAAGAGAAUUAAUUUAAGAAGUAUUAUAUUGUAUAUUACUCUUCUUAUUCAUCUGUCAAAUUUCUUAAUUAAAAAUUAAACUUAAAGGCUUAAAUAAGGAUUUUUUUUUCAUUAUUUUAAUUAGAACAAGUUCUUUAAUUUAUUUUUCUCUUAUAUAAACGGGCAUUUAAGGUCAUACGCAACGUAGUUUGCACUUUAUUGGGUUCUUCCCUGGAGUUGAAGAGUUCCACUAAAUGAAGGACCUGUGUGCAAUAUUUUUAUUGUCUAUAUAUGGAUUUGUAAAUCUCUUCUAAAACAAUUUUGAUAAAAAAAAUCUGGAAUUUAUGUUUUGUAAUUUUUGUACAUUUUUCUUUGAAUAAUGCAAAAUUUUUCAAACUUUAAUAUCUUUUCAAAAUCCCUGGAAAUGCAUGCUGAUUUUUUGUUUAAAAAUAUGUUAUAUGGUACAUGUAUUAUAAGUUUAAAUUUAGAAUAUCUUGAAAAAUUAUCAGUAGGUAAGGUAUCUUGCGUAUGUCCUUAAAUACCCAAGAUGCAUCAACUGACAAAGUUUGAUGAUU